AGAGAUGCAGACAUGGAAUGAAAGGACUGGAUUCCUCAGUCUCCUAAAUUGGACCGGCUGUUGAAUUGUCUCUUUUCCUGUAAAUGGAAUCCUGUAAAUCUUCGGCCAGAAAUGUCUCUUCUAUACUGUAUCCUACGGAUUGUUGCUGAACAUUUCAAGCCAUGCCUGCAAACCUGGUGCCUCCCCUCAGAACUGACAGCGGUUGAAAAGUCCAGGUGCCAUUAUUUUGUGGUUCAGUGCUCCACUUGAAUUUAAUUUUCAUAAACAGAUACAACAAUUGCUUUGUGCUGAAGUAUAGCAAAGGGAUUACUUCAUGGAAUAUUGGUCACAAGUAAAUAAAAAGAGACCUAUUUAUAGAUAUUUGGGAUAAAAGAAAAAUAUGUUCCACUUUGCUGUGUUCAAGCUUCAACAGAAUGAUUGACAUUGAUCUGAGGAUCCCAAAUUAUA